rnacentral:rRNA from 1 species
GAUGAACGCUGGCGGCGUGCCUAAUACAUGCAAGUCGAGCGAACGGACGAGAAGCUUGCUUCUCUGAUGUUAGCGGCGGACGGGUGAGUAACACGUGGAUAACCUACCUAUCAGACUGGGAUAACUUCGGGAAACCGGAGCUAAUACCGGAUGAUAUUUUGAACCGCAUGGUUCAAAAGUGAAAGACGGUCUUGCCGUCACUUAUAGAUGGAUCCGCGCUGCAUUAGCUAGUUGGUAAGGUAACGGCUUACCAAGGCAACGAUGCAUAGCCGACCUGAGAGGGUGAUCAGCCACACUAGAACGGAGACACGGUCCAGACUCCUACGGGAGGCAGCAGUAGGGAAUCUUCCGCAAUGGGCGAAAGCCUGACGGAGCAACGCCGCGUGAGGGAUAAAGGUCUUCGGAUCGUAAAACUCUGUUAUUAGGGAAGAACAUAUGUGUAAGUAACUGUGCACAUCUAGACGGUACCUAAUCAGAAAGCCACGGCUAACUACGUG